rnacentral:misc_RNA from 1 species
UCAUAAACUGUCUUUAGCUGGGGCUUUCUACACUUUGAUAUAGACCAUGCUAUAUACAUCAACAAUAUGGCAAUGGCAAUUAGGGAUACAAGUGUGGAGGAGUCAUCACUAAUAAUAGUGGUUAUCCAAUCUGGGUGCCGCAUGUCAAAUGCGGCAGUGCUCUGCAAGAUGAAAGCUCCCAAUGCCCAAUCAAGAGGGAUGUUUCCAACCUGAUUGGCGUAUCCAAUCCUUUCAUCAUCCAAUGCAAUU